AACAAACCAAUAUUUCACUUUUUACCUAUAAUAUUUGACUCUUAGUCUUAUUAAAAAUAAUUAUGAUUGACAUUUUGUUUUUAUUAGAUGAUAAAUUAUGAAUAGUACUUUACAUGUGACUAAUGUUUUUUUGAUUUCUUACAAAAAUUUAAAUAAGAUGGAUGGUUAAACGCUGGACAUGGAAACCGAAAGAUUAGUUUGUU
rnacentral:pre_miRNA from 1 species